AUAUAUUUUUGCGAUUAAAAUGGAACAUUUCGUUGGGAGUGUGAGAAAAUAUCCGAGUUUGUGGAAAAAGGAUUUGGAGGAUUAUAAAAGUUGGAUAAUUAAGGAAGAGGCCUGGAGAAAUGUUAUAGAUGAAUGCCAUAUAUCAGAUAAAAAUGGAUGUUACAAAAUGGCAGAAAGCUUAGAGGCUGGUAUGAAGUGUGUACUGUGUGUUAGACUAUAUUUUGAAUAAGUGAAUUGCUAUAUUUUAUUGGAUAUCAAGCUGGAACCUCAGGAGAGGCUGAGGAGCCAGCCACAACCCGGCAACCAACCCAACCCAACCCAAGCUAACCCAACACAACCCAACCCGAAGCAACCCAACCCAAUAAUUAGGAAAAUUACAAUAGGGGGAAGUAGAGGGGAAAGAAUGGGGGAAGGAAAAAUAUCCAACGGCACCGUGAACAUUCUGUUCUACAUAAACAGAGUAAUAUAUAACUUUUUUAUAUUGAUUUUCUUUUUAAAUAUAUAAUAUGUAGUUUAAA